GUCAUAGUUUAGUAUGUCGUCCAAAAUGUGACCAAAAACGUCGUAGUUUAGUAUGUCGUCCAAAAUGUGACAAAAAUGUCAUAGUUUAGUUUGUCGUCCAAAAUGUGACCAAAAACGUCGUAGUUUAGUAUGUCGUCCAAAAUGUCACAAAAAUGUCAUCGUUUCGUAUGUCGUCCAAAAUAUGAUCAAAAUGUCAUAGUUUAGUAUGUUGUCCAAAAUAUAACAAAAAACGUCAUAGUUUAGUAUGUCGUCCAAAAUAUGACCAAAAUGUCAUAGUUUAGUAUGUUGUCCAAAAUAUCACAAAAAUGUCAUAGUUUAGUAUGUCGUCUAAAAUGUCACAAAAACGUCAUAGUUUAGUAUGUCGUCCAAAAUAUGACCAAAAUGUCAUAGUUUAGUAUGUCGUCCAAAAUGUCAGAAAAAUGUCAUAGUUUAGUAUGUCGUCUAAAAUGUCACAAAAAUGUCAUAGUUUAGUAUGUCGUCUAAAAUGUCACAAAAACGUCAUAGUUUAGUAUGUCGUCCAAAAUAUGACCAAAAUGUCAUAGUUUAGUAUGUUGUCCAAAAUAUCACAAAAAUGUCAUAGUUUAGUAUGUCGUCUAAAAUGUCACAAAAACGUCAUAGUUUAGUAUGUCGUCCAAAAUAUGACCAAAAUGUCAUAGUUUAGUAUGUCGUCCAAAAUGUCAGAAAAAUGUCAUAGUUUAGUAUGUCGUCCAAAAUGUGACCAAAAUGUCAUAGUUUAGUAUGUCGUCUAAAAUGUCACAAAAAUGUCGUCCAAAAUGUGACCAAAAUGUCAUAGUUUGGUUUGUCGUCCAAAAGGUUACCAAAAUGUCACAGUUUAGUAUGUCGUCCAAAAUGUCACAAAAAUGACAUAGUUUAGUAUGUCAUCCAAAAUGUGACCAAAAACGUCGUAGUUUAGUAUGUCGUCCAAAAUGUGACCAAAAACGUCAUAGUUUAGUAUGUCAUCCAAAACGUCACAAAAACGUCGUAGUUUAGUAUGUCGUCCAAAAUGUCACAAAAAUGUCAUUGUAGAAAAGGCCCCAAAGUUCAUACAUGUUCACACUAUGUUACGUUUAUUUCACAUAUUCUGUGUCAUUGGGGUCUUUAAGGGGCAGGGCAUUGCCCAUGUGAAACGAGCAUGAUGAGUGAUGUCAUAUGAUGGUAUGCUGCGUGAUAGAGGAGUGAGUGAUGCAUGAGAGAGCAGUCGGGAGAGUCAGCUCGUCAGACGUGGUUGUGCGUGCAUGUAAAAAAAACCACAACCACAACUAAAGUUCCAGUGAGUAAAGUCAA